rnacentral:rRNA from 1 species
ACGAGGGGUCCUAGCGUUGUUCGGAAUCAUUGGGCGUAAAGCGUAUGUAGGCGGCUUUUCAAGUCAGAUGUGAAAGCCCACGGCUUAACCGUGGAAAUGCAUUUGAAACUGCUAAGCUUGAGUGCGAAAGAGGAUGGUAGAAUUCCAGGUGUAGUGGUGAAAUACGUAGAUAUCUGGAGGAAUACCGGAGGCGAAGGCGGCCAUCUGGUUCGCUACUGACGCUGAGAUACGAAAGCGUGGGGAUCAAACAGGA